UACGUAGGUGACAAGCGUUGUCCGGAUUUACUGGGCGUAAAGAGCGCGCAGGCGGUCGAUCAAGUCGAGUGUGAAAGCCCCCGGCUCAACUGGGGAGGGUCAUUCGAUACUGAUCGACUCGAAGGCAGGAGAGGGUAGUGGAAUUCCCGGUGUAGUGGUGAAAUGCGUAGAUAUCGGGAGGAACACCGGUGGCGAAGGCGACUACCUGGCCUGUUCUUGACGCUGAGGCGCGAAAGCGAGGGGAGCAAACGGG
rnacentral:rRNA from 1 species